GAUGAACGCUGGCGGCGCGCCUAAUACAUGCAAGUCGAGCGAACGGACGAGAAGCUUGCUUUUCUGAUGUUAGCGGCGGACGGGUGAGUAACACGUGGAUAACCUACCUAUAAGACUGGGAUAAAUUCGGGAAACCGGAGCUAAUACCGGAUAAUAUUUUGAACCGCAUGGUUCAAAAGUGAAAGACGGUCUUGCUGUCACUUAUAGAUGGAUCCGCGCUGCAUUAGCUAGUUGGUAGGGUAACGGCUUACCAAGGCAACGAUGCAUAGCCGACCUGAGAGGAUGAUCAGCCACACUGGAACUGAGACACGGUCCAGACUCCUACGGGAGGCAGCAGUAGGGAAUCUUCCGCAAUGGGCGAAAGCCUGACGGAGCAACGCCGCGUGAAUGAUGAAGGUCUUCGGAUCGUAAAACUCUGUUAUUAGGGAAGAACAUAUGUAUAAGUAACUGUGCACAUCUUGACGGUACCUAAUCAGAAAGCCACGGCUAACUACGUG
rnacentral:rRNA from 1 species